UCAAUCAUUAUUAUCAUUGCCAUCUCUGCUAUAUUAUUAGUGUCUCAACAUCAUGUUGACUCCUGUCACUAUUGCCAUCUUCUCCUCUACACCAUUAACAUCAUCACCAUCACCUCCACCAUGUCGUUACCAGCCUUGCCACCAACCCCAAUACCACCACCACCUCCACUACUUUCACUACUAUUACUACAUGCAUAUAACCCUAUUAGUUGAAUUCAACUUUGUUAUGUUUAAUUAGUGAGAUUUCUUUUUCUGUAUGUUUUUUGAUACUCUUUUAAAGAAAAUCUAAUAUAUUUCUUCAAUAUCAUUUUUGUUUAGAGUGACAAUCUACUCCAUUUUAUUGGGUAUCUGAGCUCACCCAUUCGUAAC
rnacentral:lncRNA from 1 species